UUGGUCAUUUUGUUUGCUUUUUUGGGUGAUCUGAACUGUGCGUGUGAGAUUCUGUUCAGUGAGCGGGGGUCGCGGACAACACGCAUGUUCAAUUGGGGGUCGUGACUCAAAAAGGUUGAGAACUACUGACCUAAACGACAGUAAAGACCAUUCGUCAAUACCAACCCCUAACGACACAUAUGAGGUUUUCGCGGCUCACAGUACAGCGGAGCUAGCUAAAAAACAAGAAAGGCUGCAGUUUCUGUGAAUUUAGGCUACAAAACCACUGAUCUAGGUUAAGGGUCGUGGUAUUUUAAAAAGUAAACAAAUGUAUUAAUGGAUAAGUUACGAGAGAUAACAGAAGUUAUGUAAAAAAAAAUGUGACUUGAUGUAACUUCUGUUUCCACAUGGCACAUGAAGCCCAUUCUCCCGGGUGAAAGUUUGCUCAUUUAAACUCCACAUCACCGUCAAUCACUGCUACUACAUCAGCAAGAUGGUGGCAGAGGACAGUCUAAAAGGCGAUUAUAAGCCAUAUUUUGCUGCCUGUACAACGCCCUAUUGUCAUUUUUGAGGGGAGACCAGCCUCAAUCGUCCUCAGACCCCCAGCUUCCUAAUGACAGUUCAAGGGGCCUGAGACUAAUGCUGCGUUCGAUUGCACUCGGAAAGAUCCGACCUCCGAGUCGGAAAAGUGCAAUACAACGGCCCUUGAACUCGGGAUUCCGACUCGGAAAUUCGGGUAGGAUCCAAGCAGCCCGAGUAGGUCGGAAAUACGUGGAAGACGUCACAGCAAAAUGGCGGCACACAUCGUGAGAGCUAAACAGUCAUUUUAUCUUCAACAUUUAGUCUGUUAUGUGUCGUUUAAUUUAUAAUUUGUGUUACUAAAAGUGUAGGAUUACUUUGUGGUGGUGUAAUCACAUCAAUAACACAAUCACACACAAUAAACAUCCGAACAAACAUCAAUUUGCUGUGGCCGGCCAUGUUCUCCGAGGUUGAGCAAUGAAAUGCAUUUACCUCGGAAGUCGGAAUUUCCAACUCGGAUCUUUCCGAGUUCCGAGUGCAAUCGAAUGCAGCAUUAAAAUUCAAGGGUCCCCCUCAGAACGGCCAUUAUGUUUCCAUCAGCAAUUUUAUCGACUUCUGUUAGUUUAAAUCUGCAGCCAGAAUUUGGUGCAUUCAUCAGUCAGUUCAUCUGUUGUAAAAUUGAACGCUCUUCAUCACAAAUUUAGACCGCAGAGGGCAGAACAAGUCUUCAGUAAAAGCAUCGUGAGAUUCUGUCUGCUAUUGAAUUUCGGGUGUGAUGAGCCAAAGCGCCCCGUCACACAGAUCCUCCCAUCCUGCUCCCUGGUCCUUAACCAAUUCUUCACAGUUUCCACAUCAGCGUAAAGGCUCUGCCUCUAAAUCUGCCUCGCAGAGCCACCCAGGUUCAUAUAUUUAAAUUCCACUAUUCUCUCUGGUACCAUCCUCGAUUUCCACUAAAUGUGCUGCUCUCAGAUGAACUCACAUUUCUCAUUUUAAAUAAGGAUCCAUUUGCACCGCAUCACUGCAUUGCAGAUGUACCGCUCUGGAUUCCUCCUAAUAUGUUGUUUUCACAGCUUAUUUAUGGAUUCAUGCCAUCCUUGUGGUGCUUUCAAGUCGUAAAUAUUUUUGUUUGCCCUACAGCUAUCACAAUGUACGGUACGUUGUGACUCUAUCAUCAGAGUUUCAGAUUGCUGGCUGUUUUUCUAAGCAGAUGCUAUUAAAGUCUUAUCUGUAAAUGGGUUAUAAUUGGGAUAAUUAUC